UUUACCCAUGGCGGGUGUCAGGCCUCUGGAGGCGUCGUUCUCCGUCCCUCCGGUCUACCUUGGAGUCGGGUUGUUUGAGAAUGCAGCCCAAAGCGGGUGGUAAACUCCAUCUAAGGCUAAAUACUUGCACGAGUCCGAUAGCCAACAAGUACCGUGAGGAAAGUUGAAAAGAACUUUGAAGAGAGAGUUCAAUAGUGUCUUGUAGUGGCGUUUAGAGGCAAACGGGUGGAGUCGCAAAGUGGUCUAGAUAGAUUCAACUGUUCGAGCAUCGGUUGCGGCGGAGUUUACGGAUUCAUUUCGAACCGGCUUCGUCGCUGAGCCUUUGUCGAUCGGCGCACUUCUUUCUAGACAGCGCUACAACCGGUUUAGUGGCGGUCAUAAGCUACUUGGGAAGGUGACUUCGACUUCGGUUGGAGAGUUAUAGUCCAGGCUAGCGUCGUCUGCCGCGAGACCGAGGAAUGGCCGUACCCCGCCUUUAGGCAACGGGCCCUUGCACCUCUGAUGCCGUUCGACCUGACUGGACUGUUUACAGUGCUGUCUGACUGCGGUGUUUGUUGUGUGUAAGUGUGCUUCCGAGAGGUACUCAAGGUUAGUGGCAAAUUGGUCGGCAAUCCACCCGACCCGUCUUGAAACACGGACCAAGGAGUCUAGCAUGUGUCGAGUCGCAGGGCUGUACUAAACCCGAAGGCGUAAUGAAAGUAAAGGUCGGUCUUGCAUCGGCUUAGGCGAGAUCUAGCGUCUCCGAGAUGUUAGCGCAUCGCCGGCCCGUCUUAGUUUCGACGCAAACGAGGCGGAGCACGAGCAUACACGCUGGGACCCGAAAGAUGGUGAACUAUGCUUGAGUAGGACGAAGCAGAGGAA
rnacentral:rRNA from 1 species